UGGGGAAUAUUGGACAAUGGGGGGAACCCUGAUCCAGCCAUGCCGCGUGUGUGAAGAAGGCCUUAUGGUUGUAAAGCACUUUAAGCAGUGAAGAAUACAUCAUGGCUAAUAUCCGUGAUGAAUGACAUUAGCUGCAGAAUAAGCACCGGCUAACUCUGUGCCAGCAGCCGCGGUAAUACAGAGGGUGCGAGCGUUAAUCGGGAUUACUGGGCGUAAAGCGAGCGUAGGUGGUUUAUUAAGUCAGAUGUGAAAUCCCUGGGCUUAACCUAGGAACUGCAUCUGAUACUGACAAACUAGAGUAGGUGAGAGGAAAGUAGAAUUCCAGGUGUAGCGGUGAAAUGCGUAGAGAUCUGGAGGAAUACCGAUGGCGAAGGCAGCUUUCUGGCAUCAUACUGACACUGAGGUUCGAAAGCGUGGGUAGCAAACAGGAUUAGAUACUCUGGUAGUCCACGCCGUAAACGAUGUCUACCAGUCGUUGGGUCUUUUAAAGACUUAGUGACGCAGUUAACGCGAUAAGUAGACCGCCUGGGGAGUACGGCCGCAAGGUUA
rnacentral:rRNA from 1 species